rnacentral:rRNA from 1 species
AUGGCGGACCAAGCCAUCGUGGAAAGGACGUGCACGAAGCUGAGAUCCGCCAUCGGUGAUGAUGAGGCCACCGAGUCGACAGGCGACCUGCGGGAAAUGCUGGACACGCUUGAGGCCAUGCAUGCGGCGAUGGUCGACAAGGAGAGGUUAUGGGACGGUUUCAAGUCCAAGUCCGGGAAAGAGUGGGUGAAGAAGGUCAGGACCGCCGCCAACGGGGUCUCGGACCUCGUGGACGAGUUCAAGAUGCAAUCCGCCGCAGGGACACCGGCUACAGGAAAGACGACGACGAAGAGUGUCGAGCUCCCUGAGAAGAUGAAGCAGAUUAAAGAAAUACUGAAGGGGGUACUCAAGGAGUGGAAUGAUUUCCAAGUUAAAAAUCGUGCAUCAAAUCCAAUUACUGUAGGUGCUAUUGUAGGAAGAGAUGAAGAUAGAGAGAAGAUAAUUGCUCAGCUAUCUGCACGCUGCCCGAGUGAAGAGCCCAUCAUUCUUCUCAUCGCUGGUGAGGAAGGCGUAGGCAAGACAACAGUAGCAGAAAUGGUUUUCAACGAUGUCCGAUUCAGAUGCUAUUCUCGGGCAUGGGUCAAUAACUCACUGGAAUUGCAUGAAAUAGGCAAGUCGAUAAUUUCUCAAUUAUCUGGGAAAGAAGAGUUGAGCCAUGCUUCAGAGGACGACAUGGACUCUAUAAGGGACCGCCUUCAUAAGCUACUCAAUGGCAUGAAGGUACUCGUCGUUCUAGAUGACUUAUUUAUGGCUUCCUAUGAGUGGGAGCCCUUGAAGCAGAUGUUUUCUGUAGAUGGCAAGGGCAGUCAGGUGAUUGUAGUGGCAACAACAACACAAACAUGGACAGAUUCUGUGAUUCAUGUACACACUCUAGAUCUUUUGAGUAAGGACAUGUGCUGCACAAUAAUCAAGCAACUGGCGGGUGGUUCCAAGGAUCCAUCCACCAAGAAGGAAUUGGAGCAGAUAGCACCAGCGAUUGCAGAGCGCUGUGGGGGUUUGCCAUUAGCGGCUCAAUUAUUUGGCCGCUUGCUAAAGUUCAAACAUUAUGAAGCAUGGCCGACACUACUGGAUAAAAGUCUCUGGUCAGAUAACGCUGUUGAUCUAUCCUUGGAAUUGAGCUACAGAAGCAUGCCACCAAAUUUGAGAUUAUGUGCAGCUUACUGCACCCUCUCAUACGUGGCAGCUCAUCAAAGAUUAGUCAAAGAAGAUCUGAUUCAUCAAUGGAUAGCUCUCGGUCUUAUUGAGCCAUCUGACGGUACUAUUUCGGCUAUAAAACUUGCCGAGGAGUAUAUUACGAGGCUUUUGGACAUGUCAUUCCUGCAAACUGCCAACUUGCCACCGGCCAGUGGAAAGGAUGACACGACGGAAAUAUUAUUCAAGAUGCACGACAGUAUCCUUCAAUUCGGACGAAAUCUUAUAGAAGCCGAUCUGGAGGAAGUGUACGAUCCAGAGGACUCUAGUGUGACUGAACACUGCCGCUAUGUAGUGAUAGUCCAAUGUGACGCCUGGCCAUCCAAGUCAUUAUUACCUGCCCGGAAAAUAAGCGUGAUACAUUGUUUCCUCUGUAGUGAAAUGGACCUAAGUGAUGAUUCAUUUUCAGUUCCCAGCUGCCUGCGUGUCUUGAAUUUAGAGAGGACGGCCAUACAGAGGCUACCAGAUUCGAUCUGUUCAGUUGAGCAAUUAGGGUAUCUUAAUUUAUCAGGCUGCUCUGGACUAGUAGGUCUGCCAGCAAAAUUUGGGGAAUUAAAAAGGCUGCUGCAUAUCAACUUAUCAGGCUGUUCUGGACUUGAAACUCUGCCUGAAUCAUUUGGGGAGCUAAAAGAUCUGCGGUAUAUCAACUUAUCAGGCUGUUAUGGGCUAGAAAAUCUGCCUGGGUUAUUUGGGACGCUAAUAAAUCUGGUGCGUGUCAACUUAUCAGGUUGCCGUGCACUGAAAAAUCUGAACAAAAAAAUUGGGAAGCUGGCAAAUUUGAUGCAUCUCAACUUGUCAGGUUGUUCUGUCCUAGUAACUCUGCCAGGGUCAUUUGGAAAGCUAAUAAAGUUGGUGCAUAUCAACCUAUCUAACUGCUCUAGUCUAGGAAAACUGCCACCAUCAUUUGGGAAGCUAGCAAGUUUGAAGAACAUCAACUUAUCAGGUUGCUCUGGACUAGUAACUCUUCCCAAAUCUUUUGGGGAUCUAAGAAAUUUAUUGCAUAUUGAUCUGUCCCGCUGCUAUGGAUUAAAAAUGCUGCCAGAAUCAUUUGGGAAGCUACCAAAAUUGGAGCAUGUUGGCUUGUCAGGUUGCUCUGGACUGGUAGCUCUACCCGAAUCCUUUGGAGGGCUAACAAAUUUGUUGCAUAUUGAUCUGUCACGCUGCUGUAAACUCUCAAAGCUGCCGGGAUCAUUUAAAAAUCUAUCAAAAUUGGUUCAUCUAGAUUUAUCAUUUUGGUGUUGUUUCGAAGGGAUCAAGAUAGCUCUUGGUGGCCUUACCAGUCUCCAGCAUUUGAACUUGUCACACCCUUGCUGCUAUGGUGCUGACCACGGCUAUCUUGAAGAGCUAAAAGGGGUUUUGGGCAAUCUCAGUGGACUCCGGUAUUUAAACAUAUCCAUGUUUCUGAACCCUCUCUCUUACCGCCUGUCAGAAAAGGAAAAUCUUCAACAGAUUGGAUCUUUUCUUGAACAAUAUAUUGGAUGUAUCAGCAGCUUGCACAGUCUAGAGCAUCUGGAUUUAUCUCAUAACAUUUUUCUUUGUGAUCUAGCUGAAAGUCUGAGUGGCUUGCAUAGCUUGGAUACACUGGACCUCUCAGGCUGCAUUAGACUGAAAAAAUUAGAAACAUGGAUGACUAAAAUGGACUCUCUGAAGUCAGUAAUUUUGAGGGACUGUGACGGUCUGGAAAUUUACGAGUUUGAAGUUGGUGUUGAUGAUAAUAUUAACAACUAUGUACAGCUACAGGAUGUAACAUCAAAAGUGUUGGAGAUAAGAUGUCUUGAGAAAAUGAAGUGUUUGGAGGAAGCUGAGAGAAUAAAAUUGGUAGAGAAAUCAAAACUUCAGAAUUUGAAGCUUUGUUGGACUGUGGACUCUGAACCUGUCCAGUCAGUGGAUGAUAAUAAACCUGACAGGUCCGUACAGAGUAAUGAACCUGAGGAUUCUGUGCAGGAGAAUAAACUUGACAGGCCCGUGGAGAAGAAUGAAUCUGAGGUAUCGGUGGAGAAUAAUAGACCUGACAAGUCAGUUGAGGAGACGGAACCUGAGAUCUCUGUGGAGAGAAACAAACCUUGCGGUCGCGGGUCAGCCGAGGAGAUUCAACAUGAGGUCUCUGUGGAGGAGAACAAACCUCGCGGGUCAGCCGAGGAGAUUGAACCUAUGGUCUCUAUGACUGACGGGUCCGUUGAGGAGAUUCAACCUGAGGUCUCCAUUGAGGAGAAUCAACCUCACAAGUCCGUCUCCGUCAAUGAAAUUCAACCUGAGGUCUCUGUGGAGGAGAAUAAACCUGACAGGUCCGUCAAGGAGAUUGAACCCAAGGUCUCUGUGGAGAUGAAAAAAUCUGACAGCUCAGUGGAGAAGAAUAAACCUGACAAUUCGGUCAAGGACAAUGAUUUGUUAGAAGCAUUCAUGCCACCACAAAAUCUGCAGUGCCUUGAGCUACAUGGUUAUAGGGGCAAAAUAUUCCACACUCAUUGGUUGUCCAAGGCUAAACUUCUUAAUCUUGUAAAGGUUACCAUGGAAGGCUUCCCGAGUUGCGACAUCCUGCCACCAUUUGACAUGUUACCUAACCUGCAGCACUUGGUUGUGCGGAGGAUGGCCAGCAUCAAGCGAAUUAACGCCGGUUACCUGAUUGGGAACAAACCAAUAAAGUUUACAAUAGAAGAUAUGCCUCUACUGGAAGAAUUCAACACCACACAUAGCAGUGCUGGUAAAAAGCUUGCUUCCUCAGCUAUUGAUGAACUGGUCGUACACAAAUGUCCCCGCUUGAGGUUUGAAACUCUCUCCACGAGAUUUCAGAAGCUGGUAAUAUCAGAAUGUAAAUUUUCGAAACGGGUAAUAUCAGAAUAUGAUCAAGGGAAAAAGCAUGAAGGAUAUGAAUAUGAAGAGGAGGGCCCUUCUCAACUGGUGGCCAAAAGCUGCUCUAUGCCUAUAUACCAGUGGAGUCUGUUUCACCACCGCUGUGUCCUCCACAAGUUAACUAUUGAGAAGUGUUCCCUCCAUGCACUGCUACUGCUAGGGGUUGAUUCUGACGACACUAGUUCACUACCAGAAUACAUGGGUCACCUCGCCUCUCUCCAGGAACUGAGUAUCGUGUCCUGUGAAGAUGUCAAACAUCUUUGGGGGAUCAUACAGAAACUGACCUCUCUCAAGUCUCUGCACUUAAGUGCCUGCCAGGAUUUACGUAAACUUGAUGAAGUAUUAGGAGAUCUCACCUCUCUUGAGAAGCUUUCCGUCAACAGAUGCCGCGAGAUUGAAGUUCUCCCGCAAAGCAUCAGUAAACUCACCAACCUCAAGGAUCUGUAUAUUUUAGAGUGUCCAAGUUUGAAGGGGUGGUGUGAAAAAAAGGAAAGCAAGAAACGUCUCGGCCACGUCCGACCAACAUACGAAUUACCUAAUACCAGUGAGCUAGGCGAACAAAUUAAGCGAAGCUAA